GGGGACGACAGGCUUCGACGUGGUCGUUCGUGGGAGCAGUUGCGAGCCGAGGUCGCCGGUAGGCCUCGUAAAACAACCGGCAAAACCAUAAGUGCGGAUCGAGAUCACUCGUUCCCGCUUGCUGCCUAGCUUUAGCUAGUCAGUGAGCUCCCGGCCUCCCCUCGGCCCGUGGGGGAGAUGUCUGGGAUCAGAAACGGGCUUGCCCCCACCGCGCGCCUCUGGUGGUGGGGGGACCAACACAGAGGCUGGUCGCCCUCAACCCGGCCGGUCAGGCUAGAGGGGGACGAGAUCAGAGGGCCGGCUACGCUCGUAGAAGCUGCUUUUUACGCGACCGCGGACCCGGGUUCGAUUCCCGGCGUCUCCACUG
rnacentral:tmRNA from 1 species